GGAUCCAGCCGCCGAAGGUGGGAUAGAUGAUUGGGGUGAAGUCGUAACAAGGUAGCCGUAUCGGAAGGUGCGGCUGGAUCACCUCCUUU
rnacentral:rRNA from 1 species